UACGUAGGCAGCGAGCGUUGUUCGGAAUUACUGGGCGUAAAGAGCUCGUAGGCGGCCUGUUGCGUCCGCUGUGAAAGCCCGGGGCUUAACCCCGGGUCGGCAGUGGAUACGGGCAGGCUAGAGGUAGGUAGGGGAGAAUGGAAUUCCCGGUGUAGCGGUGAAAUGCGCAGAUAUCGGGAGGAACACCGGUGGCGAAGGCGGUUCUCUGGGCCUUACCUGACGCUGAGGAGCGAAAGCGUGGGGAGCGAACAGG
rnacentral:rRNA from 1 species